GCAUGCUUCCGUCCUCAUUUUCAUAAAGUCAAGGCGCCGCGACAGGAGCACCUAUCCGCAGUUGUCAGUAGCCGUGCGCUAUAGCAGCGAGAGCUCUACAUGCGAAGAAGUGGAAAUUAAACUGGACUAUUCUUCUGUUUAUUUAUUUUUUUCUACCCACUCAAAGCUUGAUUUUUAAUUGCACAUUUUGCAUUACGAACUGAUUUAAACUCAAAAAUGGAGAAUCAAGAAAGCGAGUAUCUCCCGGAGCUUCUCGCGGAGAAGGACAGUAUGGAUGUCUCGUUUACGCACGCUAUGAAACUUUUAUCUACAGAAAUCGAGAGAAUCCAGAAAGGUGAACCCAAGAAGGAAGGAGGAGACGCGUAUUUGGACCUUUUCACCGUCAAGAAUAUCAAACUGAAGGAACGCGUGCUCAUACCCGUCAAACAGUAUCCGAGGUUCAACUUUGUGGGGAAGAUUCUUGGCCCUCAGGGCAACACAAUCAAACGCCUUCAGGAAGAGACUGGGGCCAAGAUCUCUGUACUUGGCAAAGGCUCCAUGAGGGACAAAGCCAAGGAGGAGGGUCUGAGGAAAGGUGGCGAGGCCAAGUACGCACACCUGUCCAUGGAGCUGCAUGUCUUCAUCGAGGUGUUUGCCCCCGUGCCCGAGGCUUACCUACGUAUGGCACACGCCAUGGAGGAAGUCAAGAAGUUCCUGUUUCCUGAUAUGAUGGAUGACAUCUGUCAGGAACAGUUCAUGGAGAUGGGUUAUUUGAACGGGGGCCAGGAGCACGGGCCAGGGGUCCCACGAGGCAGAGGAGGACCACCGGGCCCAAGGAGCCGAGGAGGGCCUCCGGGACAACCAGGGGCACCCAGGGGUAGGGGUAGGGGUAUGCCCCAACGUGGAGGUACCACCAGGGGAGGUCCAGCCAGAGGCGGUGUAGCGAGGGGGGCACCAGCAGGAAGAGGAACCCCUGCCAGAGGGGCAACAGCACCCCGAGCCAGACUCACUGCCCCUGGUGGGCCUCCAAGAACCCUUCCUCCCCCCCACCAACACGCCCCAGCACCGGAACAAUAUGAGGAAUAUGCCUAUGAUGAGAGCUACACUGAGCCAGCGUACGAGUCAUACGACAGCUACUACAGUCAGCCACAGGCAGAGCCAGAGUACUACGACUACGGACACGGAGAAACACAGGAAGCAUACGAACCCUAUGCCCAGGACGACUGGAACGGGACCCAGAGAGGGGCGCCGGGGGGUAAGGCCCCUACUGCCAGAGCGACUAAGGGCCCUUACCGAGAACACCCCUAUAGACAAUACUGAACUCAUCACCGUACCAACGCCUAGCGACCAACGCUACCACCGUUAACGCGUUGCCCCGACAACCAACCAUCAACCUGUCUACCACGGCAGCUCUUGCUCUAAAGCAACCCUCGACAAAAGUCCAGCUAUUAGUCAGUGAAGAACCAAUCAGAGGUCGGCUUACUGGAGAGAUGAAACCAUGCGUACCUCAGUGAGGUGGUGUAGCAAGGUCCUACAGGACCGAGUCCUGUUAGGCUUCACAGUGAAGGGCCGGCCCAGUGGAGAGCACCAAUCCUGGGGGGAGGGCAGGCUGCCAAGACGACCAGAGAACAGAACCAGCCUACUAGGGAGCGAGAAGAGUGCCUUGGCACCGGUGGAAAAAGAGGGGUGGAUUCUAGCUACAGGCUCUGCAUGAGGGGGGAAAUAGUCUGGCUCAAAUGAUAGGAAUGUGGACUAUGACACUGGCCGUGAGACUAUGACACUGGCCGUGAGACUAUGACGCUGGCCGUGAGACUAUGACACUGGCCGUGAGACUAUGACACUGGCCGUGAGACUAAGACACUGGCCGUGAGACUAUGACACUGGCCGUGAGACUAUGACACUGGCCGUGAGACUAUGACACUGGCCGUGAGACUAUGACACUGGCCGUGAGACUAUGACACUGGCCGUGAGACUAUGACACUGGCCGUGUGACCAUGACACUAGCCGUGAGACCAUGACACUAGCCGUGAGACCAUGACACUAGCCGUGAGACUAUUGACACUAGCCGUGAGACCAUUUACACUAGCCGUGAGACCAUUUACACUAGCCGUGAGACCAUUGACACUAGCCGUGAGACUAUGACACUAGUCGUGACACUAGCCGUGAGACCAUGACACUAGCCGUGAGACUAUUGACACUAGUCGUGACACUAGCCGUGAGACUAUGACACUAUGAGACUAUGACACUAUGAAACUAUGACACUAGUCGUGACACUAUGACACUAGCUGUGACACGUGAGACUAUGACACUAUGAGACUAUGACACUAUGACACUAGCCGUGACACUAUGACACUAGCUGUGAGACUGUGACACUAGCCGUGAGACUGUGACACUAGCCGUGAGACUGUGACACUAGCCGUGAGACUAUGACACUAGCCGUGAGACUGUGACACUAGCCGUGAGACUGUGACACUAGCCGUGAGACUUGACACUAUGAGACUAUGACACUAUGAGACUGACUAGUCGUGACACUAUGACACUAGUCGUGACACUAUGACACUAGCUGUGACACUAGCUUUGAGACUAUGACACUAUGAGACUAUGACACUAUGAGACUAUGACUAGUCGUGACACUAUGACACUAGUCGUGACACUAUGACACUAGCUGUGACACUAGCCGUGAGACUGACACUAGCCGUGAGACUGUGACACUGGCCGUGAGACUAUGACACUGGCCGUGAGACAUGACACUGGCCGUGAGACCAUGACACUAGCCGUGAGACCAUGACACUAGCCGUGAGACCAUGACACUAGCCGUGAGACCAUGACACUAGCCAUGAGACCAUGACACUAGCCGUGAGACCAUGACACUAGCCGUGAGACCAUGACACUAGCCGUGAGACCAUGACACUAGCCGUGAGACUAUGACACUAUGAAACUAUGACACUAGCCGUGACACUGUGACACUAGCCGUGAGACUGUGACACUAGCCGUGAGACUUGACACUAGCCGUGAGACUGUGACACUAUGAGACUAUGACACUAGCCGUGACACUAUGACACUAGCUGUGACACUAGCCGUGAGACUAUGACACUAUGAGACUAUGACACUAGUCGUGACACUAUGACACUAGCUGUGACACUAGCCGUGACACUAGCCGUGAGACUAUGACACUAUGAGACUAUGACACUAUGAAACUAUGACACUAGCCGUGAGACUGACACUAGCCGUGAGACUGACACUAGCCGUGAGACUGUGAGACUAGCUGUGAGACUGUGCUAGAAGGCUUUCUAUUUGAGGUCUGUCUGUGUGUUUAACUGUGGCGUUGUCAUAUUGCGCUGCUUUAUGUAUUGUAUAUAACUUGUUUUGCUUUUCUAAUGUGAACCAACAAACGUUCGGUUCACGUAAGUGAAUCUAUAUUGUUAUGAAAAUACCCACCCAGGCCGUAAGGAGCUGUGAAAUUGUAAUGUCUUAUGGGUUGUUUUGUGGGUUUUUUUGUUGAGGGGUUGAGCACAUUUGUACUCUCUGCAAGGCAAACUCUGUUUCUUAUCACCCUCAUAGACAUACAUUGGUUAAUGCAGUCUACAGUAUGUUCAUUAUACUCUUUAACAAAUACAACCUGUGUCCAUG